AUUAAAUUUUUAGCCGUAAAGCGUUUCUAUCGCCGAAUACAAACGAGUUAAAGUAUUCGGAGUGUUUUAUAGUGUUAAAACUUCUUCCAGAAUGGUUGUUUAAAUACGGAUAAACUCUUUUAGUUCUUUCGUGUUUUCUUUUAUUUAUUCUUCUAAGGCAAGGAACUGUGUGGCCUCUGACGUCACAGUUAUCAUCACCAUAUUUGGCAUCUCACGGUCAUAUUAGGGAGGAGUAUUGUGACGUUUAUAAAAUUUGUGUGUAGGCUUGUCGGAGAACAUAUGGUUGUUUGGACACAAAUUACGGCUGUUUCGUUUAAUGUGUUUCGAGUCGGCGUUCAAAAAAAAUCCGAAUGGACGUUCAAAUGUGCAAAACUGGACGGAUUAGCGGAUCGCUUUUUUUUUUUUUUUCUCGCUCUUCCACGCUGAGGUCGACAUCUUUCGUCCUUUAUUUACUUGCGUUCGGUAAUUCUUUACAAAAUAUUCGGGUAAAACCCGCACUUCUGUAUUGUUUAUUGUACAGCACGACGACACCGAGUUUUUUUUUUUUUUUUUUUGGUUUUGGGGG
rnacentral:lncRNA from 1 species